rnacentral:rRNA from 1 species
UGAGGAAUAUUGGUCAAUGGGCGGAAGCCUGAACCAGCCAAGUCGCGUGAGGGAAGAAGGCCCUGCGGGUCGCAGACCUCUUUGGACGGGGAGCAGAGCCGCCGACGCGUCGGCGGAAGGAGAGUACCCGUAGAACAAGCAUCGGCUAACUCCGUGCCAGCAGCCGCGGUAAUACGGAGGAUGCGAGCGUUAUCCGGAUGUAUUGGGUUUAAAGGGUGCGCAGGCGGCCCUUCAAGCCGGCGGUCAAAUCGCGGGGCUCAACCCCGCCCAGCCGUCGGAACUGGAGGGCUAGAGUGGGCGAGAAGUGCGCGGAAUGCGUGGUGUAGCGGUGAAAUGCAUAGAUAUCACGCAGAACUCCGAUUGCGAAGGCAGCGCACCGGCGCCCAACUGACGCUCAGGCACGAAAGCGUGGGUAUCGAACAGG